GAUGAACGCUGGCGGCGUGCCUAAUACAUGCAAGUCGAGCGAACGGACGAGAAGCUUGCUUCUCUGAUGUUAGCGGCGGACGGGUGAGUAACACGUGGAUAACCUACCUAUAAGACUGGGAUAACUUCGGGAAACCGGAGCUAAUACCGGAUAAUAUUUUGAACCGCAUGGUUCAAAAGUGAAAGACGGUCUUGCUGUCACUUAUAGAUGGAUCCGCGCUGCAUUAGCUAGUUGGUAAGGUAACGGCUUACCAAGGCAACGAUGCAUAGCCGACCUGAGAGGGUGCUCGGCCACACUGGAACUGAGACACGGUCCAGACUCCUACGGGAGGCAGCAGUAGGGAAUCUUCCGCAAAGGGCGAAAGCCUGACGGAGCAACGCCGCGUGAGUGAUGAAGGUCUUCGGAUCGUAAAACUCUGUUAUUAGGGAAGAACAUAUGUGUAAGUAACUGUGCACAUCUUGACGGUACCUAAUCAGAAAGCCACGGCUAACUACGUG
rnacentral:rRNA from 1 species